AUUGAACGCUGGCGGCAGGCCUAACACAUGCAAGUCGAGCGGUAGCGCAGAGAGCUUGCUCUCGGGUGACGAGCGGCGGACGGGUGAGUAAUGUCUGGGAAACUGCCCGAUGGAGGGGGAUAACUACUGGAAACGGUAGCUAAUACCGCAUAACGUCGCAAGACCAAAGAGGGGGACCUUCGGGCCUCUUGCCAUCGGCUGUGCCCAGAUGGGAUUAGCUAGUAGGUGGGGUAACGGCUCACCUAGGCGACGAUCCCUAGCUGGUCUGAGAGGAUGACCAGCCACACUGGAACUGAGACGCGGUCCAGACUCCUACGGGAGGCAGCAGUGGGGAAUAUUGCACAAUGGGCGCAAGCCUGAUGCAGCCAUGCCGCGUAUGAAGAAGGCCUUCGGGUUGUAAAGUACUUUCAGCGGGGAGGAAGGUGUUGAGGUUAAUAACCUCAGCAAUUGACGUUACCCGCAGAAGAAGCACCGGCUAACUCCGUGCCAGCAGCCGCGGUAA
rnacentral:rRNA from 1 species